AUUGAACGCUGGCGGCAGGCUUAACACAUGCAAGUCGAACGAGUGGCGGACGUGUGAGUAAUACUUGGGAAUCUCGCUUAUGGAGGUGGAUAACUACGGGAAACUGUAACUAAUACCUCGUCCCAUAAGAUUAGCACCAGUGGGAGUAGGUAGUUGGGGAGGUAAAGGCUCACCAGGCGGACGAUCACUAGCUUGUCUGAUAGGAUGACCAGUAACACUGGAACUGAGACACGGCGCAGACCCCUACGGGAGGCACCAGUGGGGAAUAUUGCGCAAUGGGGGCAACCUGACGCAGCCAUGCCGCGGGACUGAAGAGGGCCUUCGGGUUGUAAAGUUCGUUCUGUAUCGAGGCGUGACCUACAGAAGAAGCACCGGCUAACGCCGUGCCAGCAGCCGCGGUAAUAC
rnacentral:rRNA from 1 species